rnacentral:tRNA from 1 species
CAAUUUAAAGCUUAAUAGAAAGUAUUUCAUUUACAUUGAAAGGGUUUAUGUGCAAAUCAUUAUAAGUUGA